UCCGUUCGGCGGAAGCGUCG
rnacentral:snRNA from 1 species